AAAAUUUCCGACAUAUUUAAUGGAACCCCAGAUGGGACUUUGUAAGGGUUAGCAUGAUCUGCGUCCGGAACCAGGACCACUCUCUCAGGAGGGUUACAGAGGCCGGCCAUAAUAUUAAGGGCAAGAAGGACCAAGUGUUUUGAUUUCCGGUGCCGCAGCAUAGCAGAUUCGUAUGUUGAGCUUAGAACAAAAAAGGAUUCUUGGCAAGAAUCACAUUCAGAGUCACCAGAGAUUAGCACUAAUACACAGUGAACCGGAUUAAGAGCCAAACCCACAACACAAGAGCUCCUUAGUGACCGAGACACACCCACAGCGUUUGGCUAAUUGCACAGUGCUUUGUGAGAUAGAGAGAAACACAGAGAGAAAUUGUGACAGGAAGAGAGUGAAAGAGGAAGACCUGCUGUCCUCCUGUCAUAUAUCCCCUCAGCGUAUGGCGAGCUUCCCAGCACAGGGUGCACUCUUCGUACUUUUAUCGUGACGUGUUCUGGCUCUGGCUUCGCUCCUGUCUUCACCCCGUCUUAUUUCCUGAUUGUUGUUCACCUGUUCUCUCUCUAGAUCUUGAAAAGUCUGGCUAUUUAUGUUCUCCUUUUCCUCGUUCUUGUCAAAUUAUACUGCUGCACUUGUCAACCUUGUUUUCUUUGCCCAUUUGUAUCUGAUUAUGGAUAAUGAAGUUGCCUUCAUGUUUGUGAUGAUGAUGAUGAUGAUGAUGUUUACUGGUUUUACCCUCAAUAAAUGAAUGCAGGCUCUAAGCAUUUAAUCCACUCACUUUACAACCACCGUGGGGAAUUAUUAUUAUUCUCGUUCAGAAAGCAUGGAGUUUAAGUUAAAGUCACUAUUAGCCUUUUAGUGAUGAUACAUUGUCUAUUCACGUCUUUUUGUGUCUUUGUUCCAUGUGAAGUUUUAUCAUGUAUUUAUGUCUAAGCCAGGAUUCCACAGUGCUUUAUUUUCUAGUUCUGUAGUUCUUGGUUUUAACCCUCUGUUGUUAUCCUGAGCACAAUAAACACUGACUGAUUAAACACUAUACAUUAUGUGUAAUAGAACACUGAACUCUAUAGCUAAUAGAACACUUAACAUUGUGACUGAUAAAACACUGUGCACUGUGAAUA